GUGGGGAAUCUUAGACAAUGGGCGCAAGCCUGAUCUAGCCAUGCCGCGUGAGCGAUGAAGGCCUUAGGGUUGUAAAGCUCUUUUGUCCGGGAAGAUAAUGACUGUACCGGAAGAAUAAGCCCCGGCUAACUUCGUGCCAGCAGCCGCGGUAAUACGAAGGGGGCUAGCGUUGUUCGGAAUCACUGGGCGUAAAGCGCACGUAGGCGGACCAUUAAGUCAGGGGUGAAAGCCUGGAGCUCAACUCCAGAACUGCCUUUGAUACUGAUGGUCUCGAGUAUGGAAGAGGUUGGUGGAACUGCGAGUGUAGAGGUGAAAUUCGUAGAUAUUCGCAAGAACACCGGUGGCGAAGGCGGCCAACUGGUCCAUUACUGACGCUGAGGUGCGAAAGCGUGGGGAGCAAACAGGAUUAGAUACCCUUGUAGUCC
rnacentral:rRNA from 1 species